GCCAAGCAUUUACAACUAGCCGGAAAAUGGGCAUUCAAAUUGCCAAAGAUUGUGUGAAAACGUGGUAACCGAGUUAACCAUCUGCAACCUUGUUCCAAACGCUCUGAACAGUGGGAACCAGUUUGUGCCCGGCUGGAAUCAUUGAACAAGAAGGAGGUGGUCAAAUCUAAAGAGAUUUCUUACUGGCUGUCUGCAAACCCUAAGGUCAAAGAACAACUGUAUUCCCAACAUUCUCAUUAUCACUUGAUGCACUAGAUCCAGAAAUGCCAUUCAAAAAUUGCAGAAGAGACAAGAAGUAAAAGGAAAUUCUUCAAGCAAUGUUGGAGGAUAGUUGCAUAUAUAUAAAAUCAAAAUGAAGUUCUUCACAAAUACAAAAUGUAAGUAUAUAACUGUAUAACUGAUAUACUUUAUUUACUUAGUCUUUACUUUAUUCACACUGAUGCUAUUAUAAAGAGUACCAGUAUAACACAGUUGGAGAGCUGCUUGUCUAUUGUCUUCUCAAAGCCUAAAUGAAUAAAAAAUAUGGAGCUUAAAUGACUUUCCUUGCCUUUACAAAGAAAUGAAGACUGUACAUAAUAGCUUUGCUAUGGCUGAUAAGAAGGAAGAUCAAAGUUCAUGUCAAAUGCUGCAUCUCUUUCUCCCACUUAGGACUGCUGUUGGGAUCUUGGGUUCGCUAUUGUUUGGUCUAAAAGCUAGGUGCUUGAGAGGGAGCUCUUACUGUGGCAUGGUCCUAGAAGAGUGGUGAGCCCCAUUGGUUUUUGAAAUUUGACAUCAAGAAGUGU